ensembl:lncRNA
AUAAGGACAGAUAGGGAGGUCAGGGCCUGGGAUUCAUCCCAACAACAAGCUUUUGAUCAAAGAUGUGAUAAAGAGCUUGCUGUAGAUCACCUCCUGAUUUUCACUAUUGAUUGGCUGCUAACAUUUGGGUUUGUAGUGUUGGAGAGAACACAAUGUUCCCUGAACUCUGCCGACGCUGAUAUGCAUGCUGACUGAAUGCUGAUCAAAGAUGAUCCAAGUGAUGAAACCUUUAAAGCCGAAGAGUCAGAUGUGCCUGCUGAUUUGGACUGGUUAGAAGAAUUGUCUGAAGAGGAUGAUGGUGUUGACGAUGGUGACCUUGCGGUUGUAAGAAGAGGAGUUCUGCCGAGACAGCACGGAUGUUCAAGCUGAGACGAAACCUCGACCAGCUGGACUGCUUUCACCGACAGAAGGAGCAUGACGUGCUGAAAGCCAGGUCUGAACCUGGCACUGACAGACCUCUAGAGCUACAGAAGCUCCUUACCUACAUUUUGUGAACCUUUCUAGACUCCACACAAACCAGUACCAGUAGAAAAGCUUUUUUAUGAGAAUUUAAAAAAAAUACACAGGCUUUUGCCCA